UGGGGAAUUUUGGACAAUGGGCGCAAGCCCGUCCGCCAUGCCGCGUGAGUGAAGAAGGCCUUCGGGUUGUAAAGCUCUUUCGGCCGGGAAGAAAUCGCAUUGGUUAAUACCUGGUGUGGAUGACGGUACCGGAAUAAGAAGCACCGGUAACUACGUGCCAGCAGCCGCGGUAAUACGUAGGGUGCGAGCGUUAAUCGGAAAUUACUGGGCGUAAAGCGUGCGCAGGCGGUUUUGUAAGACAGGCGUGAAAUCCCCGGGGCUCAACCUGGGAACUGCGCUUGUGACUGCAAGGCUAGAGUACGGCAGAGGGGGGUGKGAAUUCCACGUGUAGCAGUGAAAUGCGUAGAGAUGUGGAGGAACACCAAUGGCGAAGGCAGCCCCCUGGGUCGAUACUGACGCUCAUGCACGAAAGCGUGGGUAGCAAACAGGAUUAGAUACCCUGGUAGUCCACGCCCUAAACGAUGUCAACUAGGUGUUGGGGAGGGUAAAACCUUUUAGUACCGGAGCUAACGCGGUGAAGUUGACCGCCCGGGGGAGUACGGCCGCAAGGUUAAAACUCAAAGGAAUUGACGGGGACCCGCACAAGCGGUGGAUGAUGUGGAUUAAUUCGAUGCAACGCGAAAAACCUUACCUACCCUUGACAUGUCAGGAAGUCUUGAGAGAUUGAGAUGUGCCCGAAAGGGAACCUGGAACACAGGGGCUGCAUGGCUGGUCGUCAGCUCGUGGUCGGGGAAGAUGUUGGGUUAAGUCCCGCAACGAGCGCAACCCUUGUCGUUAAUUGCCAUCAUUUAGUUGGGCACUUUAGCGAGACUGCCGGUGACAAACCGGAGGAAGGUGGGGAUGACGUCAAGUCCUCAUGGCCCUUAUGGGUAGGGCUUCACACGUCAUACAAUGGUCGGUACAAAGGGUCGCCAACCCGCGAGGGGGAGCCAAUCCCAGAAAGCCGAUCGUAGUCCGGAUUGCAGGCUGCAACUCGCCUGCAGGAAGUCGGGAUCGCUAGUAAUCGUGGAUCAGCAUGUCA
rnacentral:rRNA from 1 species